GUCAGCGUAUAACUGAUGAUGGCUGAUUGCAUCGCGAGAGGAGAACGAUUAAGGCUAUGAGCGAUUGCGGGUAAGGCGGUAUUCAGAAUAGUGGCAUCAAGUGCCUGCAUGAAGAAGGCCAUCGCCGCGAUCCACGGCAAACCCGCCAUACUGCGCUUCUUUUUAUCGCUCAUUCAAUGUCCUGUUAUCGGGUUAUCACUUAUCAGGUGAGCGUAGCAGCGCCUGACAAGCUUUAAAUGCCGCGUCGCCAUCGCUUUGGAUAAUCGCAUCGACUAUCGCCUGAUGCAGAUCCAGCUUUAUCACUGUGUCGCUGGUAAUUGACGUGAAGUAAGUGUGAUAAACCGAAUGGAAUAGCGAGGCGAAUGAGGUCAAAAACGGAUUGGCGCUCAUUUCAUAGAUAUGCUCAUGCCAGGCCAUAUCGACUUCGAUCCAGCGUUCACGGCGAAAGUUCUCUUUUAAUGCCGCCAUUUCGGCCAUUAACGUAUUGAGAUGCGCUUUCUGUUCCGCGGUGCCAACCGUUGCUGCCAGUAGGCAAGCUUGUGGCUCCAGACAGAUACGCAUAACCAGAAAGUGAUCGAUGACCUGAUGAAAGUUCUCUUCUGUCAUCCACCAGGUAAGCAAUUCCUGAUCAAGAAAAUUCCAGUUCGAUUGUGGCAUGACCCGGGUACCAAUUCGCGGUCGCGGUAAAACCAUCCCUUUUGCCGUUAACGUUUUGACCGCUUCGCGUACCGCUGUACGACUCACUCCAAAUUGCUCGCCCAGCUCAAUCUCACCGGGCAAAAUGGUGCCGGGUUCAUAUUCACCUUUUAAGAUCCGUUGCGCCAGCUUCUCAGCCAGAACAUACGAAAGGUUUUUCUGUGCAGCUAACUGUUGUGCGCUUAAAGGCAUUACUAAUCUUCCUUUUUCUUUUUAUUCCUCCUUAGUAUGCCACCAGGAAGUGUGAUUACGGUUGCAAAAACGGCAAAUUGCUUGUUUUAUGGCACAUUAACGGGGCUUUUGCUGAAAAAAUGCGCGGUCAGAAAAUUAUUUUAAAUUUCCUCUUGUCAGACCGGAAUAACUCCCUAUAAUGCGCCACCACUGACACGGAACAACGGCAAGCACGCCGCCGGGUCAGCGGGGUUCUCCUGAGAAUUCCGGCAGAGAAAGCAAAAAUAAAUGCUUGACUCUGUAGCGGGAAAGCGUAUUAUGCACACCCCGCGCCGCUGAGAAAAAGCGAAGCGGCACUGCUCUUUAACAAUUUAUCAGACAAUCUGUGUGGGCACUCGAAGAUACGGAUUCUUAACGUCGCAAGACGAAAAAUGAAUACCAAGUCUCAAGAGUG
rnacentral:rRNA from 1 species